CGUUGAUACAAAUCAGAAUUAAGAAACUGAAUACGUCCAUCAAUGCCCAUGCUACGUCAAUCUUAAAAGACCCAAAUGUUGCAAAACACCUAUCAGACCUCCAUGACAAAUAUGUUGUUGUCCCCGCAGAUAAAGCCCCAAAUAACAUCGUUUUUGUAUGUAAAAGUCACUACAUCAACUGCUUGAUAAACGAAUUAGGUAUUGACAAUUCACUUGGAAACUCAACAUAUACCCUCACGACACUUAACAAAGAGGAAAUCCUGGAUAAUCAUAGGUCUGUUCUAUGUUCCUUUGGAAUUUCAACCAAAGAUGAAGAACUGGAUCUUCCAUCACUGUAUUGGAUACCUAAACUACAUAAGUGUCCUUACAAACAACGGUAUAUUACUGGGUCUUCCAAGUGCUCCACGA
rnacentral:lncRNA from 1 species